rnacentral:lncRNA from 1 species
CGGUUCGCACUUCUCCCUCUUCUCCUUUAGCACCAUCGGUUGAAUUCUAAAAGCAAAAUCAGUAGACUUGAGGCUUUCUUAUUGAUGCAGUCAGCCGAUGCCUACUUAGAAUUAGAACACAGACUAGACAAAGAAAUAGCUAUGAUUAGAUGAAGAAUUGAACUUCCAUUAGAUUAAAGAUUUUGCAUUUUAUACCGUGGCAUGCAGGGAUGGGGAAAGACAAUCAUUCUUGGGGUGGAAAUGCACUUCUCACCAGUCAGCAUAAACCCCUACGAAAUCUUGCAGGGAAAAACCAUCAUGGGCUCAUUAUUUGGGGGAAUCAAGGCGAAAACCGACAUUCCAAUACUGAUGAACCGAUACCUUAAUAAGGUUUGCUUUAAAUCACCUGGUUCAAGUUUAUGCCUCCAUGUUUGUUUGAUCAUCUGAUACCAAGCUGCUCCUUUGCGGUCACAGGAGCUUCACCUGGAUGAGUUCAUAACACAUGAGGUUGGCUUUCAUGACAUUAACAAAGCUUUUGAGCUACUGAUGGCAGGGAAGAGUCUCAGGUGCAUCAUAUGGAUGGAUAGGUAAAGAAGAUUGUAAAAAACAUAGGCAUUUCAAAGCGUGCUCUUUUGUGGUUUGUAAUAAAAAAGGCAAUAACUUGAACAUUCCUUGUGAUGUGGCUGCGUACGCAUGUUUAAGAAUAAUGGAAGAGUGAUCCACCAUUUGUGUUCAUUUGCCAUGACCUUGAAACCAGAAUUUUUUCUUUACAAAUAAGAAGAAACUUUUAAUCACUAAGAAUAGAGUCUAAAAUAGGACCUGUGUGUCAUCAUUCAAAAUGGACAUUAAAUCCAAAGAAAAACUUUCCUUUAUGAAAGAUUAAUGCAUUAUGAAAAUAUCUAUUUCAUAUUUGCGAGUCACUCUAUUUUUUCCCCUAAUAUCAAUACUUUCAUCAGUUCGUAAGAUCCUUUUUGACACAUAUUGAACCCCAAAAUGCACCUCCAAUCCUGGAUGACAUGUGGAGAUAUAAAUAAAAUACCCAACAAGCCCCCCUCAUAGGACAGAAAAGCAAAAAAAAAAAAAAAACACAUGCAGUUUACAUGAUCAAAUCAAUAAGUUCAAGAAUCGAGAACUCCUCUAAUUCAUUACAUUCAUGUUGUACUUGUAUUCAUGCCCGAUGCAUUUCCUUCUAUUUUCAGUGUACAUAUACACUAUAUAAAAAAAUACUUUUAAUAUUUUUUUCAGAAAAUAAAAUAACUAGAUAGUCAUACUAAACACAAAGGAAUCAAAUCCCGUGGACACCAUCCUUGGUGGACUUAAAUGUCAUCUCACAUGUCAGGUUUAUCAUCCAAUGAUACCUUUCUCAUAUGAUGAUAGUAAAUUACCCUUGAAAAUCAUAAGAAAACAUAUCUUCUCUGUAAUUCCCCCUACAAAGCUACUACCACUCAUGCUACCUCAUUGCCUUCGCCUCAGUGGACUUGAACAUCAUCCUUUUAUCGGUCCAAAGGUUUAUCACGCUUGGAAUAUGCAAUGAGGUAUAAGCCUUUCUAGUUGAAUUAAUGAGAGAUAGCUUGAAAAAAUUAUAAAAAAUACUUAUAAAUAGAAUUUACCACUCGUCUUCUUUGUCCCUUAGUAUAAAUACACGCAUUAAUUCAUGACUAAAUUAAUAAUUCAUGAUUAAAACGAACAACAACAAGUUAAUAACUAGUACAUCAUGGAAGCAUAUCAUGAUACAAGCAUUAAAAACAUAAAUCAUAUUUGAGCAAAGCAUAUAAUAUGCUAUCAUAUCCAAACAAUAGAAAUACAUGCUCACCCAAAAAAAAUUUUACUAUUCGAAAAUAACAAUUAUAAUUAUAAUUUUAAAAACAUCUACUUAGGUCGACGAACCACUUACCUUGAGUCCAAGCCUUUGUUGAAUUAAUCUAUCAUCUCGAGUUAAAUCUUUAUAUGAGACGAUCAUGAUAAAACAAAAAUCAAAACUAAGCAAUACAUGGUCAGUCCUGUGGAUGUUAACAUUUGGGUGAAUCCCAUGGUUGAGUCCUUUUUUCUUAAUACCAAAUAUUGAACUGCUACCUUGCUGUGAAUAGCAUUGCAUGCAGCAACCUCUGCUAACCUUUAAAAGCAUUCCAGGAACACAGGUUUAUCUGUGACCAAAACUGUAAUAUCUCCAUGAACUAAUCCUCCCUUGGUUGCUUCAUGAAUAGCUCUAAAAUUUAAACCGCCACCAGAGACAAAAACUGCUACUCUUUUCCUUUUAAGUCAAUUUUUUUGUGAACUAUCGUCAUUAGUUGUCAUGCAGCCCAACCCCUCUCUCUCUCUCUCUCUCUCUCUCCCCGAAGCACUACAUCUACCUUCCAAGCACCAAUAUUUACCGCCAGCCUUCAGCGGCACCACUUCUGAAGCAGUAGAUGCUUUGUGGGAGGAGGAAGCCUAGUCUCACUCUCACUUAGCAACCAUUGUUUCGAAGACCUAAACAAAACACACAAAGAAGCUCUAUUUAUUUAGUAAAAGAAAACCCCUGACCGAUUAGAAAUAAGAUUUAGGCAGUGGAGGAAGACGGUAGAUCAAUCGCGUGCAUGCGAUCCACUAUUCAUCACUUAGUUGCUUGCUUGAUAAGCAAAAGGAGAAAAAGAGGAACAUAUAAGAGGAUCCCUAAAACGUCCUCUCUUAUCUUACUUGUAGAGAUCAAGAUUUGGCGGAAGAACCGAGCGACGGUUGUAGUGGCCGUGGCGGUGCCGCAUCGGGGGAUGGCGACGAUGAGGCGGAAGUCGAUGAUUUGCUCCUACCAUUUGAGUAAGAGAGGAGGAAAUAGAGAUGCCCGCUAGAGGAGAGAUCUCGGCGGUUGCAGAUGUAGUGGAAGUAGUUCAUCU